AUGGCACACAAUAAAUCCCCUGUACCAGAUGGCUUCGCUCCUGAAUUUUAUCAACAUUAUUGGGAUCUGGUAAAACAUGAUCUAAAAGCUCUGUUGGAUGACUUUGUUAGUAGGAAAAUUGAUAUUAGUAGACUAAACUAUGGGAUUAUAACUCUAGUCCCAAAAGGGAUAGAUGCUAAUCAAAUACAGAAAUUCAGGCCAAUUUACUUGCUUAAUGUCUGCUUCAAUAUUAUUACAAAGGUGUUAAUGAACAGGUUGAAAUUGGUAGCUGCUAAUGUCAUUUCUCAUGUUCAGACUGCUUUUGUUAAGGGCAGGUAUAUUAUGGAAGGUGUCGGGGAUAUACCCCGUGGCGUAAACCAGCCGGAAGUAUAA
rnacentral:rRNA from 1 species